rnacentral:rRNA from 1 species
AGGAUAAACGCUGGCGGCGUGCCUAACACAUGCAAGUCGAACGCCCUACGCAAGUAGGGAGUGGCGGACGGGUGAGGAACACGUGGGUUAUCUGCCUUUCGGUGAGGAAUACCAGCGAGAAAUCGCUGACAAUACCGCAUACGGUUCUUUCGAGAGGAAGAACGAAAGUCGUAAGACGCCGGGAGAUGAGCCUGCGCCCGAUUAGUUUGUUGGUGGGGUAAAAGCCUACCAAGACUGCAAUCGGUAGCUGGUCUGAGAGGACGAUCAGCCACACUGGGAUUGAGAACGGCCCAGACUCCUACGGGGGGCAGCAGUGAGGAAUUUUCGUCAAUGGGGGAAACCCUGAACGAGCAACGCCGCGUGCAGGAAGAAGGUUUUCGGAUCGUAAACUGCUUUUCUGUGGGAAGAGAACGGACGGUACCACAGGAAGAAGCCCCGGCUAACUACGUGCCAGCAGCCGC